rnacentral:rRNA from 1 species
GACGAACGCUGGCGGCGUGCUUAACACAUGCAAGUCGAACGAAAAGAGGGAAAGAGCUUGCUCUUUCCGGAAUUGAGUGGCAAACGGGUGAGUAACACGUAAACAACCUGCCUUCAGGAUGGGGACAACAGACGGAAACGACUGCUAAUACCGAAUAAGUUCCAAGAGCCGCAUGGCCCAUGGAAGAAAAGGUGGCCUCUACCUGUAAGCUAUCGCCUGAAGAGGGGUUUGCGUCUGAUUAGCUGGUUGGAGGGGAACGGCCCACCAAGGCGACGGUCAGUAGCCGGUCUGAGAGGAUGAACGGCCACACUGGAACUGAGACACGGUCCAGACUCCUACGGGAGGCAGCAGUGGGGAAUCUUCCGCAAUGGGCGAAAGCCUGACGGAGCAACGCCGCGUGAGUGAUGACGGCCUUCGGGUUGUAAAACUCUGUGAUCCGGGACGAAAAGGCAGAGUGCGAAGAACAAACUGCAUUGACGGUACCGGAAAAGCAAGCCACGGCUAACUACGUG